rnacentral:rRNA from 1 species
CCUACGGGUGGCAGCAGUGAGGAAUAUUGGUCAAUGGGCGGAAGCCUGAACCAGCCAAGUCGCGUGAGUGAAGAAGUAUUUCGGUAUGUAAAGCUCUAUCAGCAGGGAAGAAAAAAGACGGUACCUGACUAAGAAGCCCCGGCUAACUACGUGCCAGCAGCCGCGGUAAUACGUAGGGGGCAAGCGUUAUCCGGAUUUACUGGGUGUAAAGGGAGCGUAGACGGCGCGGCAAGUCUGAAGUGAAAGGCAGGGGCUUAACCCCUGAACUGCUUUGGAAACUGGCAUGCUAGAGUGCUGGAGAGGUAAGUGGAAUUCCUAGUGUAGCGGUGAAAUGCGUAGAUAUUAGGAAGAACCCCGAUUGCGAAGGCAGCUUACUAAACUGUGACUGACAUUGAUGCUCGAAAGUGUGGGUAUCAAACAGGAUUAGAUACCCUUGUAGUC